GUCCUGGCCCUAAAACGAUGCGCACUAGAUAGCGGCUCGUUCCGACGAGUCGCUGUCGGAGCAAAAGCAUUAAGUGCGCCGCCUGGGGAGUACGGCCGCAAGGUUAAAACUCAAAGGAAUUGACGGGGGGCUCACACAAGCGGUGGAGGAUGUUGCUAAAUUCGAAGCAACGCGAAGAACCUUACCAGGACUUGACAUGCUCGUAGUAGGAGCCGGAAACGGUAACGGCCUCCCGCAAGGGGAGGAGCGAGCACAGGUGUUGCAUGGCUGUCGU
rnacentral:rRNA from 1 species